CUACGGAGGGUGCGAGCGUUAAUCGGAAUUACUGGGCGUAAAGCGUACGUAGGCGGUUGGUUAAGUUAGAUGUGAAAGCCCCGGGCUUAACCUGGGAACUGCAUUUAAAACUGGCGAACUAGAGUUGAGUUGAGGGGAGUGGAAUUUCAGGUGUAGCGGUGAAAUGCGUAGAGAUCUGAAGGAACACCAGUGGCGAAGGCGACUCCCUGGACUCGAACUGACGCUGAGGUACGAAAGCGUGGGUAGCAAACGGGAUUAGAAACCCUAGUAGUCC
rnacentral:rRNA from 1 species